AGCCCCGGCGGAUCGCCGGGGCUUCUGUCGUUCUGAAACUCUUGCUGAAAAGGCGCUUCGUGAAAUCCGGUUCAGCCCCCGAGGCUGUCCAUCACGCCGUAGGCGCCGGCGACGCUGCCGAGCUGCCCGAUGCGGCCGCUGUCGCGGGCAUAGGCAUCGACCGCGGCCGAGGUGCCGGGCCCCCAGGCGCCGUCGAUGGAGCCCGAGUAAUAGCCGUAGCGCGCGAGCGAGAUCUGCACCUCGCGCCGCAUCUGGGGCGAGAGCUCGCGGAAGGCCUGGGCUGCGGGCGUGGAAUGGACGCUCGGGGCCACAUAGCGGGGCUGGUAGGUGACCUGACGCGGGGCGGUGGUGGCAUAGGUCGCCCGCGGCUGGACGUAAUAUUGCGGCUGGGCCGGCGGGGCCGCAUAGCGGGGCUGCUGCUGACCGAAGGGCCACUGGCCGUUGGCGCGCAUGUUCUGCAUCACCACGCCCGCAACGGCCGCGGUGGCGGCGCCGGCGAUGAAGGCCUUGUCCUUCUUGCCGAGCGCAUGGGCGGGCGCCGCGGCGGCGGGCACCAGCGAGAGGGCGGCCAGCGCGGCGAUGGCGGUCUUGCGAAGGUCGAUGGUCAUCUCUGUCUCCGUUGUUCGCGCCCCGGUCGGCAGGGGCGGUGGUAUCUGCUGCUCCGGAACAUGGGUCGAAGCGGCGUGUCAGGCAAAAACCCGGGGCUGCUAUCGGAUAACAGCGCCCCCGGAUCUCCCUCAAGUCACUGAAAUGUAAGGAAACGGAAAGCCGCUCAUCCCCCGGUUCCCGAGGCGGCAAAAACUUGCGCG
rnacentral:tRNA from 1 species